UUAUUUUAGGUUUUGCUUAUUUUUGAUCUUCAAUUUUUUUACCAGUGACAAUAAUUAAAUUAACCUUGUUUCAUUGUUCAUAAGUUGACUGAUAAUUUAUCAUCAUCAUUAAUAUUACAAUCAUCUUGCCUGAUAAUUAAUAAGUGUUGAACAAUUUGCCGUUGAAGAAGCAACAUGACAAAAUAACUGUAACCAAUUUUCCUCCAUUUUAGAGUUGAACGUUGGUUUGGGAUAUGAUUACUCAUUGGUAUGGUUUAAUUGUUAAUUAUCGCUGCUAUUAUUAAACUGGAAGUGAAAUUAAAGUUACCCUAACAACUGAAUUAUAAAGUGGUUUAUGUAAUAAUCAACAUAUUUCUCAUCUUCCUGUGAUGUGUUUACUCUUCCAAUUAAUUUGAUAUGGCUAACAAGCUGAAUCAAGGUAAAAAUACGAAAUGUACAACUUCAACGCCAGCAAAAAUAAUCAGGACAAACUGUUAACUUAACGAAAGCCAUUUAAAUGAUGACCAAAUCAACAUUCAUAUUUUUAUUGUUUUUCAUCAAAAUUUACAAUUCAAAUUGGAAAUGAAAUCAACUGAUAAACCAGAAAGCAAAUGAAAAUGAUACAAGUCGGCGAAGGCGUAAUAUGGUGGAAUCAUUCAAAACUAAAUUCACUUAAUGUGAUAAUUUAUAAUCAAACCUCAGCCAAAAUCAAUGACCCAACAAAGAUAACACCAGGAAAACAUGAUUUUGAACCCAGCCAGGAUUUUACAUCAUACAUGUAUUAAUUGACUUGAAGCUCAUUGUUGAUAUCACCAUGUUAACAAAUAAUUUUUAGGUAACUCUAGUCUUGUUGCCUGGUUUAUUAAUCUUCCGAUUAUUCAUAAGAUUAAUAACCUUUUUUAGCAACAUUAGGCUAUUAAAUUUAUCAGUCGGCUAAGAACUGGAAUUGUCCAAUGUCGUUGAUAAUCAAUCUAAACAUGAGUCUAAGAUUACAUGUUUUCACUUUUACCGUUAUUGCUAUGCUAACUGUAAACUUAAUUAACUGAAGUGUUACUCAAACUCAUGUUUUCUGGUUUACUUGUUAUUGUGCUGUGUUUUUGAUCAUCCUCAGGCUGAAUUAUCAUCACAAUUAAAAUAACUUGCUCAAUGAAAGUGAAACAAAUAACAGAAAGUUGAGUUUGAAAAGAGGUUUACCUCCAUUCAUCAAUUGAAAAAUGUUAAUAAGCCAACCAUGUAACUGGUAUAAGUCAAAUAGUAGAUUAAUUACACAUCUCAAUUGAUUUCUGGAGUAACAAUACUGUUAUUAUAUUAAGAUGAGUCAUUAAUUUGAUUGUGUUAAUACAAGAAAAGGAGUUUCACGCAUCUUAACUAUAUCAUUGUGUUUGUCACUCAAUGAGUAAUACACAUGUCACAUAAUAUAAGUCAUAAACAGGAAAAACGCACUUUUGAUUUGUCAAAAGCAUUUGAUAUUGUUUAAUCAAUCGUUGAUACAAUUAUUAUAUCAAAUGAAAUUAAAUGUUUACAUCUUAA